UUGAUGUCAAGUGAUUUCUGUAUCAGAAAGAACCCUGAAGACAGAGAGAAGAUAGGAUUCCUGGUUGGUUAGAGUUCUUGGACAAUGCAUGCAUUUCAGAGAGUGGGUAGAGAACGAUUCAUUCUCUCUCUCUCUCUCUCUCUCUCUCUCUCUCUCUCUCUCUCUCUCUCUCUCUUUCUCUCUCCCUCCCUCCCUCCCUCCCUACCUACCUACCUCCCUCCCUUCCUCCUUUCCUCCUUCCCUCUCCCCCCUGCCCUCCCUCAGCAGAUGGAAGCACUUUGAGUACUGGGUUGUGUUUAACUCUGAUGAAUAGUAUAGUAUAAAACACCACUAGCAAAAGUCAUCCCCCCAUCCUCCACAGGGGAUAAAGGACAUUAAAAGGUGAACUAAGAAGCCCACAGGCUGUUGUGAGUCACACCAAGAGUAUGCAGGUUGGCCUGGAACCGUCCGGAGUCUCAUCACUGUAACUUGUAACUUUGCAGUUUAUGUGUUACCUGCCCUCCUUCUGUACAGGGCUCAAAGAGGCUGAGGAAAUGGUUUGCACAGCAAUAACGGGGGAACCAGGCACUGAGAAUCUACCUCAGCAGACCCCCCCCCACUGGAGUCCUAGGAUGUCAAGGCCUCAUGACCCUUUGGAUAUUUACACAGCCUCACUCACAGCAUGGAAUGCUAAUGGGCAGCAGUCCAGGCAAAGACCACAGUGGCUGCCCCACCCACACCCCUUGCAUCCUGGUGGAACUAUUUGAUGAGUUUUCCUCAGUCAAAUUGGAAGAGGUGGGUGGCACUCUUUCAUUAUUUCACGUAGGCUGGCCUUAACUUGUGAUUCUCCAUGGUGCUUGGAUUAUAGGCAUAGACCACCAAAG
rnacentral:lncRNA from 1 species